GUAGGUGGUUUGUUAAGUUAUAGGUGAAAGUCCGGGGCUCAACCCCGUGAUUGCCUGUGAUACUGGCAGACUUGAGUGCAGGAGAGGGUAGCAGAAUUCCCAGUGUAGCGGUGAAAUGCGUAGAUAUUGGGAGGAAUACCAGUGGCGAAGGCGGCUAUCUGGACUGUAACUGACACUGAGGCGCGAAAGCGUGGGGAGCGAACAGGAUUAGAUACCCUGGUAGUCCACGCCGUAAACGAUGAGUGCUAGGUGUUGCGGGUAUCGACCCCUGCAGUGCCGCAGUAAACACAAUAAGCACUCCGCCUGGGGAGUACGGUCGCAAGACUGAAACUCAAAGGAAUUGACGGGGGCCCGCACAAGCGGUGGAGUAUGUGGUUUAAUUCGACGCAACGCGAAGAACCUUACCAGGGCUUGACAUCGCGUGAAAGCUCUAGAGAUAGAGUCCUACACCUUCGGGUGUACACGUAGACAGGUGGUGCAUGGUUGUCGUCAGCUCGUGUCGUGAGAUGUUGGGUUAAGUCCCGCAACGAGCGCAACCCCUAACAUUAGUUGCCAGCAUGUAAAGAUGGGAACUCUAAUGUGACUGCCGUUGACAAAACGGAGGAAGGUGGGGAUGACGUCAAAUCAUCAUGCCCCUUAUGUCCUGGGCUACACACGUACUACAAUGGCCGGUACAGACGGAAGCGAAGCCGUGAGGUGGAGCAAACCUGAGAAAGCCGGUCCCAGUUCGGAUUGUAGUCUGCAACUCGACUACAUGAAGUCGGAAUCGCUAGUAAUCGCAGGUCAGCAUACUGCGGUGAAUACGUUCCCGGGCCUUGUACACACCGCCCGUCACACCACGAAAGCUGACAACACCCGAAGCCGGUGA
rnacentral:rRNA from 1 species